GUAGUGCAAUGGAUAGCGCAUUGGACUUCUAAUCGAGACGUGGGUUCGAAUCCCACUGUUUCU
rnacentral:tRNA from 1 species